UCUUGUAGCGUCACUACGAAGCAGGGUCAGGCCUGGUUAGUACGUGGAUGGGAGACCUCCUGGGAAUACAAAGUGCUGUAAGUU
rnacentral:rRNA from 1 species